rnacentral:rRNA from 1 species
UGGGGAAUAUUGCGCAAUGGGGGAAACCCUGACGCAGCAACGCCGCGUGAGUGAUGAAGGUCUUCGGAUCGUAAAGCUCUGUCGGCAGGAAAGAUGGAUUCGUCGGCUAACAUCCGACGGAUUUGACGGUACCUGCAAAGGAAGCACCGGCUAACUCUGUGCCAGCAGCCGCGGUAAUACAGAGGGUGCAAGCGUUGUUCGGAAUCAUUGGGCGUAAAGGGCGCGUAGGCGGUUUUGACAGUCGAAUGUGAAAGCCCAGGGCUCAACCUUGGAAGUGCAUCCGAUACUACAAAACUAGAAUCUCGGAGAGGGUGGUGGAAUUCCCAGUGUAGAGGUGAAAUUCGUAGAUAUUGGGAGGAACACCGGUGGCGAAGGCGACCACCUGGACGAAGAUUGACGCUGAGGCGCGAAAGCGUGGGGAGCAAACAGG